ACUGGCUGAGGGAGAAGUCCAGGGACACGGACCGGCACCGAAAGGUUCUGGAGGGCUGGGUUCGGAGCGUGGGGCGAUGCCGACCCGCUCACCGUGUGCGUGUUUGUCCCGCAGAUCACCAGCAAGAGCAAAGAGUCCAUCUGGGAGCUGAUCAAGAGCCUCCUGGACGCCUGGUCCGGAUGGGUGGUAAUGCUGCUCAUCGGCCUGCUCUCUGGUGGCGCCACUAGGUGUCGCUCUCCCCGCAGCCUGAGGCUCCAUCAAGGGGAAACUGGAGGUCAGGUGUUGAUUUCCUGUUGAUUCAGGUGUGGUUGGGUCACACGUUGUUGGUUGAUGGUCGGGAGUCACGUUACCUGGGUGUUGGUGCUCGACGCUGUAGAAAACGGACUGAGAUCUGCUGACAGAGAGUGAUGAAGACGCCUCCAGGCCUUCAUCGCCGCAGCUUGUUGUGCUGCUGCUGCAGCAGCCAGACUCCAGCGGCCCCUGGGGGCCCGGCGGUGGCAGCG